AAACCGCAAAGAGGUAAACGGGUGGAUCCGCGAGGUCGGCCCUGGGAAUUCAGCCCAGCGCGUUGGGGCGGCUUGGACGCGGUGAUCUGUCCAGGACUCCGCGUUCUCGCGUCGGCUUCCAGCGAGCAGGGUGCACUUUCUCCGGGUCGAGUGCCACGACCGGUUCCGCGCUAGUCAGGAGCCCGGCGGCAAGGUUACUGUAACAGGUGUUAUAGGCCGCCGAGGUGGACACGCUGCGGGACCGAGGAUGCUUGCCGCAUUCCACGGCUUCGGGUCGUACGGGCGCGUUCAACGUUGGCGUCACUUCUCGCAAGUGCGCCGAGACCGCGUGCCCGUCACGGGCCCGUCAGCCGGGAGUGCCUCGUGUCGGUGGCCAAACGGUCGGUCCUCCACCCGACCCGUCUUGAAACACGGACCAAGGAGUCUAACAUGUGCGCGAGUCAAGGGGUCUAACGAAACCCAAAGGCGCAAUGAAAGUGAAGGCCGCCUCCGGUUGGCCUAGGCGGGAUCCCGUCCCGUUCGCGGGGCGGGCGCACUGCCGGCCCGUCUCGGCUGCAUCGUCAGCGAGGCGGAGCAAGAGCGCACACGUUGGGACCCGAAAGAUGGUGAACUAUGCCUGAGUAGGACGAAGUCAGAGGAAACUCUGAUGGAGGUCCGUAGCGAUUCUGACGUGCAAAUCGAUCGUCAAACUUGGGUAUAGGGGCGAAAGACUAAUCGAACCAUCUAGUAGCUGGUUCCCUC
rnacentral:rRNA from 1 species